rnacentral:rRNA from 1 species
CCCUUAGAUGUCCUGGGCCGCACGCGUGCUACACUGAUGCAUACAGCGAGUACUUUCCAGCUCCGCGAGGCAGCUGGUAAUCAGCAAUAUGCAUCGUGCUGGGGAUAGAUCUUUGGAAUUAUAGAUCUUGAACGAGGAAUUCCUAGUAAGCGCAAGUCAUUAGCUUGCGCUGAUUAAGUCCCUGCCCUUUGUACACACCGCCCGUCGCCCCUACCGAUUUCGAGUGAUUCGGUGAACCUUUUGGACAGCGUCUGUCCUCGUGUCAGAUGCUGAAAGUCAAGUAAACCAUAUCACUUAGAGGAAGGAGAAGUCGUAACA